rnacentral:rRNA from 1 species
GAACGGUAACAGGUCUUCGGAUGCUGACGAGUGGCGAACGGGUGAGUAAUACAUCGGAACGUGCCCGAUCGUGGGGGAUAACGGAGCGAAAGCUUUGCUAAUACCGCAUACGAUCUACGGAUGAAAGCAGGGGACCGCAAGGCCUUGCGCGGACGGAGCGGCCGAUGGCAGAUUAGGUAGUUGGUGGGAUAAAAGCUUACCAAGCCGACGAUCUGUAGCUGGUCUGAGAGGACGACCAGCCACACUGGGACUGAGACACGGCCCAGACUCCUACGGGAGGCAGCAGUGGGGAAUUUUGGACAAUGGGCGAAAGCCUGAUCCAGCCAUGCCGCGUGCAGGAUGAAGGCCUUCGGGUUGUAAACUGCUUUUGUACGGAACGAAAAGACUCCUUCUAAUAAAGGGGGUCCAUGACGGUA